UCCGUAGGCGGGCGACUAAGUCAGAGGUGAAAUCCCACAGCUUAACUGUGGAACUGCCUUUGAUACUGGUUGUCUUGAGUUAUAGUGAAGUAGAUAGAAUAUGUAGUGUGGCGGUGAAAUGCUUAGAUAUUACAUAGAAUACCGAUUGCGAAGGCAGUCUACUAACUAUAUACUGACGCUAAUGGACGAAAGCGUGGGGAGCGAACAGGAUUAGAUACCCUGGUAGUC
rnacentral:rRNA from 1 species